rnacentral:rRNA from 1 species
UGGGUAACCUGCCCAAGAGAUCGGGAUAACACCUGGAAACAGAUGCUAAUACCGGAUAACAACAGAUGAUGCCUAUCAACUGUUUAAAAGAUGGUUCUGCUAUCACUCUUGGAUGGACCUACGGUGCAUUAGCUAGUUGGUAGGGUAACGGCCUACCAAGGCGAUGAUGCAUAGCCGAGUUGAGAGACUGAUCGGCCACAUUGGGACUGAGACACGGCCCAAACUCCUACGGGAGGCAGCAGGG